CCUAUGGGCUUGACGGGAAAAUUCAAAAUCGCGAAACGUUACAGCAUGGACUACUCGCUGUCUUUGUUUGUUUGUUCAUCAACAGUAAGAGGUCAUGUACACUGUGGUCAACUUUGUGGACGCUGAAGAGGUUUCUGGGUAAAGAUGAUAGAAAUAUAAUGAAGUAACAGUGGAAGCUAAAACAUCAGACUGAUCCAGACACUGAAGAAAUUGAUGUCACUGCAAUCUGGCCAAAAUGAUACAACUAUAUUGAAGUAGCCUACUGUAAUGAAGCUGCAGAACAACACAGAGACUCUGAGGACAUCAACACAGAAAAUCAAGGCUCCAAAGAGAUGUCUGUCCAGAUGAGGGUGCAUCAACGUUACCUUUGCUGACAAGUAUAUGCUUUUAGCAGUUAACUUAACUCAAACCAUUUAAGGAAAUCGGUUGCCUUAAACCUUUAAGUUUUAAAAAAAAACAUACAUUUGAGUAAUGUGAACUUAAGUCUUGUGCAAUUAUGCACUUAUAUUUAGGUAGUGUGAACUUAAACAAAUUGAGUCACAUGCAGUUAAGCACUUAUAUUUAAGUUCACAAUACUCAAAUCUAUGUGUUUUAAAACUUGAAUGGUUUAAUGCAACCGGUUUUCUUAAAUGUGAGAAAUUACAGUGUUACAGUGAGAAAUGUUUGAAUAAUUCCAAGACGGAGCUCUGUGAUUAAUUCUACACUGCAAAAAAAUCACUUUCUAACACUUUUUAUCUUGUUUUCAGUAGAAAAACUAAAAAUUCUUAAAUCAAGAUGUAUUUUCUUGAUGAGCAAAAUUACCUUAGAAAAUAUGUCUAGUUUUUAGACAAAAAUAUACAAUUUAAGAUAAUUUGUGCCUAAACAAGAAAAAAUAUCUAACAAUGGGGUGAGAAAAUUGUGUUUUAACUAAGUUUUUAAGGUAAAAGAAAACGUAAGAUUUUUUUCUCACACUAUUGGAAGAUAUUUUUGCUUGUUUUAAGCACACAUUCACUUAAUGUAUGUGUAUUUUAUUUAUUUAUUUUGUCUAAAACUAGACUUAUUUUCUUGGGUCAUUUUGUUCCUCAAGAACAAGCAUUUUAAUUUAAAUAAUAUUUGUACUGAAAACAAGACAAAAAUACUAUGUAAGAGUCAUUUUUUGCAGUGUAGGACUGAUUUCUUAAGAGCAAGAUCAAUAUAGUUGUUGUUCAUUUUAUUUAGAUAUUUACUACAUUAAAGUGGCAGCUGGUGACUUCUUUUUUUUUGUGAGCACUCGAUGCGAAGUUUGUCACAACAUGUAUAUAGCCCGUCAUUUGUGUGGUUCCCAAUUUCAAAAUAUGUGUUCUGCGUGUAUGUGCAUCACCUGUUUUGACUAAACACAUCACGUGUUUAGUCAAAACACGUGAUGCACAUACACGCAGAACACAUAUUUUGAAAUUGCAACCCUCGGAUGAGCAGUCACGAGCCGCCACUGCUACAUUACAUUGUACUGCUUUGAAUGUAGUUUUCAUUGUUGCUUUUAUUUUGUUUUAUUUUACUCUAAUAUUGCUUUCUCUGUCUGUAUAUUUAUGAGUUUAAAUAGUGUUGUUUAUGUAUGCAACUUUUAAUAUUUGUGUAUUAUAUUAUUUUGUGAUUGUGACAAUUGUGGAUUGUUCAGGUUUUUUUUAAAUAAACGUUUCAAACUCAA